AUGUACUAAAGUACACUCCGGUUUCUCCGCUCCGGGCGCCACCAGCUGAUGGCCUCUCGCUACAGACUUUGAACA
rfam:Herbaspirillum sp. CF444 PMI16_contig_26.26, whole genome shotgun sequence.